AGCGCGCGCAGGUGGUUUCUUAAGUCUGAUGUGAAAGCCCACGCUAUUAAAGUGGAGGGUCAUUGGAAACUGGGAGACUUGAGUGCCUUAAAGGAAAGUGGAAUUCCAUGUGUAGCGGUGAAAUGCGUAGAGAUAUGGAGGAACACCAGUGGCGAAGGCGACUUUCUGGUCUGUAACUGACACUGAGGCGCGAAAGCGUGGGGAGCAAACAGGAUUAGAUACCCUGGUAGUCCACGCCGUAAACGAUGAGUGCUAAGUGUUAGAGGGUUUCCGCCCUUUAGUGCUGAAGUUAACGCAUUAAGCACUCCGCCUGGGGAGUACGGCCGCAAGGCUGAAACUCAAAGGAAUUGACGGGGGCCCGCACAAGCGGUGGAGCAUGUGGUUUAAUUCGAAUUUUCGCGAAGAACCUUACCAGGUCUUGACAUCCUCUGAAGACCCUAGAGAUAGGGCUUCUCCUUCGGGAGCAGAGUGACAGGUGGUGCAUGGUUGUCGUCAGCUCGUGUCGUGAGAUGUUGGGUUAAGUCCCGCAACGAGCGCAACCCUUGAUCUUAGUUGCCAUCAUUAAGUUGGGCACUCUAAGGUGACUGCCGGUGACAAACCGGAGGAAGGUGGGGAUGACGUCAAAUCAUCAUGCCCCUUAUGACCUG
rnacentral:rRNA from 1 species